AAAGAAGGAAAUGUCGUUAAAUUAUACUGUGAAAUGAAAUCGGCUUUGGCGUUCGCUUUGAGAAUUCGAAAAGACUGGGGGUUCUAGGAUUUUACUCUUAUUUUUCGUCUCCCAAUUGAAUUGUUAGGGUUUUAGAUUUAUAAAUCCCUGAAAAGAUUGGGGUUCUGUUCUUCUUGCUCCAGCUGCUGCUGCUGUUGUUGUAUGGGUUCUAAUUUCUAAGUAGUAAUAUGCUAUUUCAGUCAGCAUUUGAAUCCAAAGAGGCUUAUCGGAAGGCUAUUGGAUGCCCGAAAGGACGAUGCGAAGAUUAAAAGAAGCAAGGAUUAUUUGAAACGGUUGGAAUCUUACAUGAAGCUGUAUGGCAGUAUGGGGCACUGGUUCAGAUAUCUAAUUGUUUUUAUGGUACAUAGUAGGCGCAUAAUCUUACAUAGCAUAAAAGAUUAUGGCAGGCCUUGCUCUCUUCAGAGAACACAAAUCUCAGUUCAUGAAGGUGCUGAACAUCAUACCUGAGAACUUUCUCAGUGCCUUGAGAGCCCUAGAAGAUCCACAGUUGACGCCUAUUACGGCUGAGAUUCAGUUUUACUUAGAUGAUAAGAAGUUCCUGCAAGUACCAGAAGGAAGGGCUUUGCAAAGUUCUCUGUCAUCAAGUGUCAUGGUGCCCGACUCAAGACUUGUAUCAUCAACCAAGCAGAUAUUACUACUAAUUGAUUGAGCUGAGAAAUUUUUUGUUGUAUGUCUUUCGUUAAGAGUUGGUUGAAACUGCCUUCCCAGAAAGAAACUUCCCGUGGUGGUUAGAUGAUGUUGAAUUAUUAAUAUUAUUAUUAUACACAAAUCUUGUGAAAGAAAAGGGUUAAGAUAAAAAAUUACAUAAUAAUACAGGUUUUGCUGCUUUAAGUCUUGAUCCAAGUUCCUGCGGUCAUUCGGAAGAACCCUGUCCUUGAUUCUAGUGUCCAACGUACCGAUUUUGUUUCUAAAUCCAUAUAAAUAUGCAUUUCUAUCUGGGAGAAAAUGGUAGAAAUUUAAUUUUCAACUUUAGUGUCAGUACCAUAUUUUUGGCCCUUUUUUUCUCCUUAGAAAGUAUACCAUAAAUAUGAUUGGAAAAAAAUAGAUGGAUAUUGUUGCCAGUCAUCAUUCUUCUUGCUCACAUUUUGAUUGUCAAGACAAGGACUUUUCACAGAGUUUUUAUUCAGUUCACAAGCCCUAAAUUAUCCGUGAUGUGAAGACACAAACCAAGAGGCCAAAAAAAAAAAAUUAUAAGGAUCUCAGCCUAUUCAACUACUGAUUCGACAAAGGAUUAUGUUCAUUAAUCGCUUUGACGGGGUAAAAUUCUCAUCCUCUUCUAAGCCCCAUUCCCAAAGUAUUUGUUAUCUGCAAAGCCUUCAAUGUAGCAAGAGCCCUAUUUUGGCCGUGUUCCCUUACUUCCCACUUUACAGCUUUAAAUUGUUAAGUCAUAUAAUGCCAAAUAUUUUAACAUCCAUCAAGCUAGCAGCACAGUCUAGCUGGUGAUUGCAACUUCAUUCCCACCCCAGAGCGAUGCAUCAGGUGAGAUAUAGCCCUCCCC